UAAUUAGAGAGCUUGUAUAUAAGCAUCUGACUUUUAAUCAGAAGAAAUUUAUUUAUAGAUUCUAAUUA
rnacentral:tRNA from 1 species